GAAAUAAUUCUAUUGCGCUAUCUGGGUUUCAGUUUUGCUUGAAUUUGAGUCGAAGAAUUCUAGCAGGAGAAGCUAAAACAAGGGCGACGCAGCUUCAAUCACGUCACACGGAUUGUGUGAAGGGUGUUGGCAAAAAAAAAA